rnacentral:rRNA from 1 species
UGAGUAAUACUUAGGAAUCUGCCUAUUAAUGGGGGACAACAUCUCGAAAGGGAUGCUAAUACCGCAUACGCCCUACGGGGGAAAGCAGGGGAUCACUUGUGACCUUGCGUUAAUAGAUGAGCCUAAGUCGGAUUAGCUAGUUGGUGGGGUAAAGGCCUACCAAGGCGACGAUCUGUAGCGGGUCUGAGAGGAUGAUCCGCCACACUGGGACUGAGACACGGCCCAGACUCCUACGGGAGGCAGCAGUGGGGAAUAUUGGACAAUGGGGGGAACCCUGAUCCAGCCAUGCCGCGUGUGUGAAGAAGGCCUUAUGGUUGUAAAGCACUUUAAGCGAGGAGGAGGCUCUCUUGGUUAAUACCCAAGAUGAGUGGACGUUACUCGCAGAAUAAGCACCGGCUAACUCUGUGCCAGCAGCCGCGGUAAUACAGAGGGUGCGAGCGUUAAUCGGAUUUACUGGGCGUAAAGCGUGCGUAGGCGGCUUUUUAAGUCGGAUGUGAAAUCCCCGAG